UUUAGAAGUGUGGUCCUGUA
rnacentral:siRNA from 1 species